rnacentral:rRNA from 1 species
AGUGAACGCUGGCGGUAGGCCUAACACAUGCAAGUCGAACGGCAGCACAGUAAGAGCUUGCUCUUACGGGUGGCGAGUGGCGGACGGGUGAGGAAUACAUCGGAAUCUACUUUUUCGUGGGGGAUAACGUAGGGAAACUUACGCUAAUACCGCAUACGACCUACGGGCGAAAGCAGGGGAUCUUCGGACCUUGCGCGAUUGAAUGAGCCGAUGUCGGAUUAGCUAGUUGGCGGGGUAAAGGCCCACCAAGGCGACGAUCCGUAGCUGGUCUGAGAGGAUGAUCAGCCACACUGGAACUGAGACACGGUCCAGACUCCUACGGGAGGCAGCAGUGGGGAAUAUUGGACAAUGGGCGCAAGCCUGAUCCAGCCAUACCGCGUGGGUGAAGAAGGCCUUCGGGUUGCAAAGCCCUUUUGUUGGGAAAGAAAAGCAGCAGGUUAAUACCCCGCUGUUCUGACGGUACCCAAAGAAUAAGCACCGGCUAACUUCGUG